ensembl:snoRNA SNORA70 Small nucleolar RNA SNORA70
CUGCAGCUUAUUAAGCCGACUGGUUCUGCUGCCGUGCGGUUCCGGUGUGCAAGGGCUGCAGACAGUGACUCUUUGGUUGUGUAUGUCCUCAGCUGGGAGGUGCUGAGUGCUUUAAGGGACCACUGAGACAAAA